GUCUAUGGUCAUACCACCCUGAAUGCGUCUGACCUCAGAAGUUAAGCAGGGUUGGGCCUGGUUAGAACUUAAAUGACAGACUACUUCAAAGGGUAAGGAAGAUG
rnacentral:rRNA from 1 species